rnacentral:rRNA from 1 species
CCUACGGGUGGCAGCAGUGAGGAAUAUUGGUCAAUGGACGAGAGUCUGAACCAGCCAAGUAGCGUGAAGGAUGACUGCCCUAUGGGUUGUAAACUUCUUUUAUAUGGGAAUAAAAUGUUCCACGUGUGGGAUUUGUAUGUACCAUAUGAAUAAGGAUCGGCUAACUCCGUUCCAGCAGCCGCGGUAAUACGGAGGAUCCGAGCGUUAUCCGGAUUUAUUGGGUUUAAAGGGAGCGUAGGUGGAUUGUUAAGUCAGUUGUGAAAGUGUGCGGGUCAACCGUAAAAUUGCAGUUGAAACGGGCAGUCUUGAGUACAGUAGAGGUGGGCGGAAUUCGUGGUGUAGCGGUGAAAUGCUUAGAUAUCACGAAGAACUCCGAGUGCGAAGGCAGCUCACUGGACUGCAACUGACACUGAGGCUCGAAAGUGUGGGUAUCAAACAGGAUUAGAUACCCUUGUAGUC